rnacentral:rRNA from 1 species
GACGAACGCUGGCGGCGUGCUUAACACAUGCAAGUCGUACGGAAAGGCCCUGCUUUUGUGGGGUGCUCGAGUGGCGAACGGGUGAGUAACACGUGAGUAACCUGCCCUUGACUUUGGGAUAACUUCAGGAAACUGGGGCUAAUACCGGAUAGGAGCUCCUGCUGCAUGGUGGGGGUUGGAAAGUUUCGGCGGUUGGGGAUGGACUCGCGGCUUAUCAGCUUGUUGGUGGGGUAGUGGCUUACCAAGGCUUUGACGGGUAGCCGGCCUGAGAGGGUGACCGGCCACAUUGGGACUGAGAUGCGGCCCAGACUCCUACGGGAGGCAGCAGUGGGGAAUAUUGCACAAUGGGCGGAAGCCUGAUGCAGCAACGCCGCGUGCGGGAUGACGGCCUUCGGGUUGUAAACCGCUUUCGCCUGUGACGAAGCGUGAGUGACGGUAAUGGGUAAAGAAGCACCGGCUAACUACGUG